rnacentral:rRNA from 1 species
CAGUAGCCGCGGUAAUACGUAUGUCACAAGCGUUAUCCGGAUUUAUUGGGCGUAAAGCGCGUCUAGGUGGUUAUGUAAGUCUGAUGUGAAAAUGCAGGGCUCAACUCUGUAUUGCGUUGGAAACUGUAUAACUAGAGUACUGGAGAGGUAAGCGGAACUACAAGUGUAGAGGUGAAAUUCGUAGAUAUUUGUAGGAAUGCCGAUGGGGAAGCCAGCUUACUGGACAGAUACUGACGCUGAAGCGCGAAAGCGUGGGUAGCAAACAGGAUUAGAUACCCGGGUAGUCCCUGUCUCUUAUACA